UGGGGAAUAUUGCACAAUGGAGGGAACUCUGAUGCAGCGACGCCGCGUGAACGAAGAAGGCUUUCAAGUCGUAAAGUUCUUUUAUAUGGGAAGAUAAUGACGGUACCAUAAGAAAAAGCCCCGGCUAACUACGUGCCAGCAGCCGCGGUAAUACGUAGGGGGCUAGCGUUGUCCGGAAUCACUGGGCGUAAAGGGUUCGCAGGCGGAAAUGCAAGUCAGGUGUAAAAGGCAGUAGCUUAACUACUGUAAGCAUUUGAAACUGCAUAUCUUGAGAAGAGUAGAGGUAAGUGGAAUUUUUAGUGUAGCGGUGAAAUGCGUAGAUAUUAAAAAGAAUACCGGUGGCGAAGGCGGCUUACUGGGCUCAUUCUGACGCUGAGGAACGAAAGCGUGGGUAGCAAACAGG
rnacentral:rRNA from 1 species